rnacentral:rRNA from 1 species
UACGAAGGGGCUAGCGUUGCUCGGAUUCACUGGGCGUAAAGGGCACGUAGGCGGCUUGGCAAAUCGGUCGUGGAAUCCCGACGCUUACCGUCGGAACGGCGGCCGAAAAAUAACCGAGCCUCGAGGGCGUGAGGGGGUCACUGGAACUCCUGGUGAAGCGGUGAAAUGCGUAGAUAUCAGGAGGAACGCCGGAGGCGAAAGCGAGUGACUGGCGCGUUCCUGACGCUGAGGUGCGAAAGCUAGGGGAGCAAACAGG